GGGGCUGGCGGACCCCGCGGCGACGCGCCCUGCUGCUGCUCGCGGCCGCGCUAGGGGGCGGCUUCUGCAGGACGGCGGACGCCCCGGAGGAGGAGGGGGAGCCGGCAGCUCACCUAAGCAACCGCGUGGCCGGGGGCGGGCGGGGCGGCCUGCGCGUGCCGGGCCUGGACACCCCCGUGCGCCCUGCGCCCGCCCUGCCGCACAGCUGCCUUGGCCCCGGGGACAGCCUCCUGGAGCGGCUCAGCUUUUGAACAUGUCAAAUUACACGGAGACAUUUUCAACUUUGCUAUGGUUUGAGGACAUCAAUGCAGAAACAGAACUGAAAGAGUAUAAUGAGUGGAGUUGCCAUGAAAAUGAAUGGUUAUUUACUGAUUUGAGAAAUCGCAGGUUUACCUGAAAGUAGACCUUCUCUGUAUGCAGAUUCAUGAAGAUGUAACUCCUAAACUUAAUCCAGAAUUUGAGCCAGCAUAUAACUUGGACCCUGUGGAUGUGGAGCACACACACAGUAGGACCGUAAGCAGGUGGUGCCACUUUGGCCUUGAACAUGCCAUCCGCUUAAGCGUACAAGUGUUGUUUCCAGAAGAAAUCGUUUUACAGUCUCACCAGGUGACAGGGAAUUGGAACCAUGCACAAGAUGCGAAAAAUGACGGACUGCCCACCACCAAGGGAUAAAUCUGGCAGAAGACGUGCAGCACUGUCUCCUGGAAACUACAAAUUGUGGAUGGGAAAUUAACAGAAGACCUACAGAAACAGAGAGAUCACCCAGCAUCUUUAUGACAGUAUAGAAUUCUACAUUCAGUGACCUCCUGUGCUUGCUGAGAUUGCGGAGCCUCGUCGUUGCCAUUUUCCCACCUGAUCACAUGACAUGCCCAGAGUGUGUGCGAACCUCAUAAGACAAACUGAAAAGUCCUACUCUGCAGAUAAUGAGUAAAAGUGUUGUCUGAAGACACAGAUACGUCAAGACAGGAGGCCGACCGAAUUCCGCCUUGACCCUGAAAUUUGUGAUGAUUUGGUCAGGCUGCUGCGGGUCCACAGUCCUGGCCUUUCUGAGGGGCACCAGGGCUGCCCCAGUAGGAGGGAAACCACGUCCCCAGGAUGAGAUUCGUGAACUAGAUCAUCAGGAAACAAACAAGCAUGUCUGUGUGAGUUCAGCACAUGGAACUUUAUCAUGAGCUGAGUCUUCCCAGCCUACAAGCUGACCAUGUGAAUGUGAUGACCCAGCCCCAGCGAAGGACUGACUUCAGCUGCGUGAGAGACCCUGGGGGAGAGCACCUCAGGACUGCAGUCAGUUUAUGAGCAAAAUAGGACGAAGAAGCUGGAAUUUAUUUGGAGAAUGUUCACCUUGACCACCACAUGUUCCCUGAGCACCCGGAGGCUCCUGCAGAGACGCACAAGAUGACCGGCAGGUCCCGCCGACAGCUGUGAUUCGCGGCCCAGGUCUAGCACACGGACGCAGUUAGGACCCUCAGUGGGAUCAGCAAGCGGAGGGCAGGCAGAGUCUGGAGCAACCCACGUGCAGGCUUCCCGUCGCUCCGUCCCCCUGCGAGGGUCACACGGACGCCCUUCGCAGCGGCGGCGACCCCGCCGGGCGGCGCAGCGUCCCCACACACCUUCCUUCCUUCCGAGCCGCUUCCUCGCGGGGUGAAGCGCCGCCCACCGCGCUCUGAGGGGCCGCGCUGCGUGUCGCGCUCUCCCCGCGCCCCAGUCCGGCUGGUGAGGUCGGCCCGAGCGUCUGCGGCGACGGAG